GACGAACGCUGGCGGCGUGCUUAACACAUGCAAGUCGAACGGAAAGGCCCUGCUUUUGUUGGGUGCUCGAGUGGCGAACGGGUGAGUAACACGUGAGUAACCUGCCCUUGACUUUGGGAUAACUUCAGGAAACUGGGGCUAAUACCGGAUAGGAGCUCCUGCUGCAUGUUGGGGGUUGGAAAGUUUCGGCGGUUGGGGAUGGACUCGCGGCUUAUCAGCUUGUUGGUGGGGUAGUGGCUUACCAAGGCUUUGACGGGUAGCCGGCCUGAGAGGGUGACCGGCCACAUGGGGACUGAGAUACGGCCCAGACUGCUAAGGGAGGCAGCAGUGGGGAAUAUUGCAGAAUGGGCGGAAGCCUGAUGCAGAAACGCCGCGUGCGGGAUGACGGCCUUCGGGUUGUAAACCGCUUUCGCCUGUGACGAAGAGUGAGUGACGGUAAUGGGUAAAGAAGCACCGGCUAACUACGUG
rnacentral:rRNA from 1 species